rnacentral:rRNA from 1 species
UACGUAGGGCGCAAGCGUUGUCCGGAAUUAUUGGGCGUAAAGAGCUCGUAGGCGGUUUGUCGCGUCUGCCGUGAAAGUCCGGGGCUCAACUCCGGAUCUGCGGUGGGUACGGGCAGACUAGAGUGAUGUAGGGGGAGACUGGAAUUCCUGGUGUAGCGGUGAAAUGCGCAGAUAUCAGGAGGAACACCGAUGGCGAAGGCAGGUCUCUGGGCAUUAACUGACGCUGAGGAGCGAAAGCAUGGGGAGCGAACAGG